rnacentral:rRNA from 1 species
UACAGAGGUCCCAAGCGUUGUUCGGAUUCAUUGGGCGUAAAGGGUGCGUAGGCGGCGCGGUAAGUCGGGUGUGAAAUCUCGGGGCUUAACUCCGAAACUGCAUUCGAUACUGCCGUGCUUGAGGACUGGAGAGGAGACUGGAAUUUACGGUGUAGCGGUGAAAUGCGUAGAUAUCGGAAGGAACACCAGUGGUGAAAGCCGCUUCCUGGUCCAGCACCGACAUUCAGGCACGAAAGCGUGGGGAGCAAACAGG